rnacentral:rRNA from 1 species
GGUUCAUUCAAAUUUCUGCCUAUCAACUUUCGACGGCUGGGUCUUGGCCAGCCAUGGUGACAACGGGUAACGGAGGGUUAGGGCUCGACCCCGGAGAAGGAGCCUGAGAAACGGCUACUACAUCCAAGGAAGGCAGCAGGCGCGCAAAUUACCCAAUCCCGACCGGGGAGGUAGUGACAAUAAAUACUGAUACAGGGCUCUUUUGGGUCUUGUAAUUGGAAUGAGUACAAUUUAAACCUCUUAACGAGGAACAAUUGGAGGGCAAGUCUGGUGCCAGCAGCCGCGGUAAUUCCAGCUCCAAUAGCGUAUAUUAAAGUUGUUGCAGUUAAAAAGCUCGUAGUUG